GUGGGGAAUAUUGGACAAUGGGCGAAAGCCUGAUCCAGCCAUGCCGCGUGUGUGAAGAAGGUCUUCGGAUUGUAAAGCACUUUAAGUUGGGAGGAAGGGCAGUAAGUUAAUACCUUGCUGUUUUGACGUUACCGACAGAAUAAGCACCGGCUAACUUCGUGCCAGCAGCCGCGGUAAUACGAAGGGUGCAAGCGUUAAUCGGAAUUACUGGGCGUAAAGCGCGCGUAGGUGGUUUUGUAAGUUGGAGGUGAAAUCACCGGGCUCAACCGGGGAACUGCCUCCAAAACUGCAUGACUAGAGUACGGUAGAGGGUAGUGGAAUUUCCUGUGUAGCGGUGAAAUGCGUAGAUAUAGGAAGGAACACCAGUGGCGAAGGCGACUACCUGGACUGAUACAGACACUGAGGUGCGAAAGCGUGGGGAGCAAACAGGAUUAGAAACCCCAGUAGUCC
rnacentral:rRNA from 1 species